rnacentral:rRNA from 1 species
GGGUCAGUAGGUUGGUCGUGCCACCGGUACGUACUGGUCUCACUGAUUCCUCCUUCCUGAAGAACCGUAAUGCCAUUAAUUUGGUGUUGCGGGGAAACAGGACUGUUACUUUGAAAAAAUUAGAGUGUUUAAAGCAAGCUAACGCUUGAAUACAUUAGCAUGGAAUAACGAAAUAGGACGAUCGAUCCUAUUUUGUUGGUCUCUAGGAUUGACGUA